rnacentral:lncRNA from 1 species
AGUUUUAAUUGUCAUUGCGAUAAGACGUGUCACGGUACUUGUCUAUCCCAAAUUCAUGUAUUUGGUUUUGAUGUUAUAUUUGUUAUUCUCGUGGGAUUUUGUCUGAUGCUUGGUCCGUUUCUGUGUGUGUUAGUUACAUGGUAGUGUUGUGUCGUUGUUCUCUUAUAUUUAUGCGUUUCCGUCAGUUUUAGUUUGUUACCCCG